GACGAACGCUGGCGGCGCGCUUAACACAUGCAAGUCGAGCGGAAAGGCCUGCUUUCCCUUGUGGAUUGCGGGUACUCGAGUGGCGAACGGGUGAGUAACACGUGAGUGAUCUGCCCCCAACUUGGGUAUAAGCCUGGGAAACUGGGUCUAAUUCCCGAUAGGACUGCAGGGUGGUGCCUGUGGUGGAAAACGAUUUUCUAGUGGUUGGGGAUGAGCUCGCGGCCUAUCAGCUUGUUGGUGGGGUAAUGGCCUACCAAGGCGGCGACGGGUAGCCGGCCUGAGAGGGUGGACGGCCACAUUGGGACUGAGAUACGGCCCAGACUCCGACGGGAGGCAGCAGUGGGGAAUAGUGCACAAUGGGCGGAAGCCUGAUGCAGCGACGCCGCGUGGGGGAUGACGGCCUUCGGGUUGUAAACUCCUUUCGACCGCGAGGAAGCCACCUGGUUGGAAGGGUGGUGACGGUAGUGGUAGAAGAAGCACCGGCUAACUACGUG
rnacentral:rRNA from 1 species